rnacentral:rRNA from 1 species
UACGGAGGGUGCGAGCGUUAAUCGAAAUUACUGGGCGUAAAGGGUGUGUAGGUGGCUAUAUAAGUUACUUGUGAAAGUCCCGGGCUUAACCUGGGUUGGACGGGUGAUACUGUAUAGCUAGAGUAUAGGAGAGGGUAGAGGAAUUCCAGGUGUAGCGGUGAAAUGCGUAGAUAUCUGGAGGAACACCGGUGGCGAAGGCGACUACCUGGCCUGAUACUGACACUGAGGCACGAAAGCGUGGGGAGCAAACAGG